rnacentral:rRNA from 1 species
ACGCUCGACACCUACGGGAGGCAGCAGUAGGGAAUCUUCCACAAUGGACGCAAGUCUGAUGGAGCAACGCCGCGUGAGUGAAGAAGGUUUUCGGAUCGUAAAGCUCUGUUGUUGGUGAAGAAGGAUAGAGGUAGUAACUGGCCUUUUAUUUGACGGUAAUCAACCAGAAAGUCACGGCUAACUACGUGUCAGCAGCCGCGGUAAUCUGAGCGGGCUGGCAAGGC